CCUACGGGCGGCAGCAGUGAGGAAUAUUGGUCAAUGGGCGCGAGCCUGAACCAGCCAAGUAGCGUGAAGGAUGACUGCCCUACGGGUUGUAAACCUCUUUUAUAAGGGAAUAAAGUGUGGGACGUGUCCUGUUUUGUAUGUACCUUAUGAAUAAGGAUCGGCUAACUCCGUGCCAGCAGCCGCGGUAAUACGGAGGAUCCGAGCGUUAUCCGGAUUUAUUGGGUUUAAAGGGUGCGUAGGCGGCCUUUUAAGUCAGCGGUGAAAGUCUGUGGCUCAACCAUAGAAUUGCCGUUGAAACUGGGAGGCUUGAGUAUGUGUGAGGCAGGCGGAAUGCGUGGUGUAGCGGUGAAAUGCUUAGAUAUCACGCAGAACCCCGAUUGCGAAGGCAGCCUGCCAAGCCAUGACUGACGCUGAUGCACGAAAGCGUGGGGAUCAAACAGGAUUAGAUACCCGGGUAGUC
rnacentral:rRNA from 1 species